UACGAAGGGUGCAAGCGUUACUCGGAAUCACUGGGCGUAAAGCGUGCGUAGGCGGUUCGUUAAGUCUGUUGUGAAAGCCCUGGGCUCAACCUGGGAACUGCAGUGGAUACUGGCGAGCUAGAGUACGGUAGAGGAAGGUGGAAUUCCCGGUGUAGCAGUGAAAUGCGUAGAGAUCGGGAGGAACACCAGUGGCGAAGGCGGCCUUCUGGACCAAUACUGACGCUCAUGCACGAAAGCGUGGGGAGCAAACAGG
rnacentral:rRNA from 1 species